AACCGGAUUAGAUACCCUGGUAGUCCAUGCCGUAAACGAUGUCUACUAGCCGUUGGGGCCUUUGAGGCUUUAGUGGCGCAGCUAACGCGAUAAGUAGACCGCCUGGGGAGUACGGUCGCAAGACUAAAACUCAAACGAAUUGACGGGGGCCCGCACAAGCGGUGGAGCAUGUGGUUUAAUUCGAUGCAACGCGAAGAACCUUACCUGGUCUUGACAUAGUAAGAACUUUCCAGAGAUGGAUUGGUGCCUUCGGGAACUUACAUACAGGUGCUGCAUGGCUGUCGUCAGCCCGUGUCGUGAGAUGUUGGGUUAAGUCCCGCAACGAGCGCAACCCUUUUCCUUAUUUGCCAGCGGGUUAAGCCGGGAACUUUAAGGAUACUGCCAGUGACAAACUGGAGGAAGGCGGGGACGACGUCAAGUCAUCAUGGCCCUUACGACCAGGGCUACACACGUGCUACAAUGGUCGGUACAAAGGGUUGCUACCUAGCGAUAGGAUGCUAAUCUCAAAAAGCCGAUCGUAGUCCGGAUUGGAGUCUGCAACUCGACUCNNUGAAGUCGGAAUCGCUAGUAAUCGCGGAUCAGAAUGCCGCGGUGAAUACGUU
rnacentral:rRNA from 1 species